UCCCUGAUGGGCCAAUAGCUAAGACUCUGCAUUUCCAAUGCAGGGGGCUCGGGUUUGAUCCCUUGUCAGGGAA
rnacentral:tRNA from 1 species